rnacentral:rRNA from 1 species
AGUGAACGCUGGCGGUAGGCCUAACACAUGCAAGUCGAACGGCAGCACAGUAAGAGCUUGCUCUUACGGGUGGCGAGUGGCGGACGGGUGAGGAAUACAUCGGAAUCUACUUUUUCGUGGGGGAUAACGUAGGGAAACUUACGCUAAUACCGCAUAUGACCUACGGGUGAAAGCAGGGGAUCUUCGGACCUUGCGCGAUUGAAUGAGCCGAUGUCGGAUUAGCUAGUUGGCGGGGUAAAGGCCCACCAAGGCGACGACCCGUAGCUGGUCUGAGAGGAUGAUCAGCCACACUGGAACUGAGACACGGUCCAGACUCCUACGGGAGGCAGCAGUGGGGAAUAUUGGGCAAUGGGCGCAAGCCUGAUCCAGCCAUACCGCGUGAGUGAAGAAGGCCUUCGGGUUGUAAAGCCCUUUUGUUGGGAAAGAAAAGCAGCAGGUUAAUACCCCGCUGUUCUGACGGUACCCAAAGAAUAAGCACCGGCUAACUUCGUG